rnacentral:rRNA from 1 species
UGGGCCUACGGGACGCAGCAGUGGGGAAUAUUGCACAAUGGGGGGAACCCUGAUGCAGCGACGCCGCGUGGGAGAAGAAGUCAAUCGUGACGUAAAGUCCUAUCAGCAGGGAAGAAAAUGACGGUACCUGACUAAGAAGCCCCGGCUAACUACGUGCCAGCAGCCGCGGUAAUACGUAGGGGGCAAGCGUUAUCCGGAUUUACUGGGUGUAAAGGGAGCGUAGACGGCGGCGCAAGUCCGGAGUGAAAGCCCACGGCCCAACCGUGGGACUGCUCUGGAAACUGUGGGGCUUGAGUGCGGGAGGG